CUGAUUAUUGCCUUGAGAGGGAAGGGGCACAGGAGGGCAUCUUUUCCCUCUGAUAAAUUAAAAGGACUGUACGGGUGCUUUCUGUAACCUGUAAAAUGGCAGGGCCAUCUGCGACUCAUUUAGCAGCUUCUUAGGGAAGAUUUAUUUGAUUAAUUCGGGCAGAAGAGAGAGAAUAUGGAUUUCUCGGCCCCGCUUCUCAAAAGGCACACACAUAACGACCCUCACGCACGCACGCGCGCGCGCACGCAACCCGCCCAAUGGGCGGAUAUCUCAGGAAUGAAAAACGACUGGUCGUGUUAUUGCAACCGGCGAAUGGGGGGGCCUCCCUGGUGAGACAGCCGCUGUCCUGCUGGAGGGAGGGGAGGGCCCCCCGUUUCUGAAGAGGUCACAGCGGCCCAGGACUGGUGCCACCGCGGACUGAGCGGAGAAUAACACCAGGACGCUGGGCUGUUUCGAUGAAGAAGGAUCACUUAGUGCCAGAUCUUGUAGGUGAAAUUCAAGAUGCAAUCUAGUGGAGACAGUUAUUUUGGAGGUUGUCAUCAAGGAGCAAAACCGGACCAGACCCCCUCACUGGUGAUGACUCCUCUUAGUCCUCAACACAACUCCAUGCAGUAGGGCCGUUGAGUGACCUGAAGCUCAGAGAUGUCGAGUGACUCCCCUACGGUUUCUCAGCUGCACGGGGAGCCCAGCUUUGCUGGACUUCAAAGCCUGGACCCCUUCGAUGCUACCCCAGUGCCAAGCUGAUGGUUAUCUUUUUCCGGGUUCUCAUUUUUCCCCAACUUGCUCUGGCUGCUCUCAACUUCUUCCCCAGUUUUUCCACAAAUGUUCAAGGAGAGAUUCACUCCCGUCCAGAUCAAUGUCACUGCCGUAAUGAAAACCACCACCCAAAACCCACGGAGGACGAGGUCUGUGGAACCCUAAUGAGAAUGGUUCCGAUUAUGUAGAAAGCAACCGCGUGGUUAUUCUAAUGUUACAAGUAAAUAUAAAACAUUUAGAAAUA